GAUGAACAUUACAGCCUCUAACUAUACUUCAAAUGAUUUAAUUAAUGAGGGACCCUCACUGAAGCUGGAGCAUGCCAAUUUUCAUCUAUGCUGUUACCCAGAAAACCCCAGUGAUCAUUGUGUCUUCAGCCUGACAGCUUUGGGGUUACAGAUAAAAUGGAAAAUGCAAAUCAAAGAGGACAUCUGGGAUGGCGAGAUGCUCAGUGGAUAAAGAACUUGCUAAGCAAACCUGAGAACCUGAGUUUGAGCUCCCAAAUCCCUGUGUAAAGCUGGGCAUGGUGGUGUGUCUUUGUAACCUUACCGCUGGAAAAGUGGAGACAGGAGAAUUCCUGAGGAUUUGUUGUCAGCCAACCGAGCCUAAUGGGCAAGCCCCAAAUCCCAGUGAGAAACUCUGCUCAAAAUUCAAGAUGCACGACACCUGAGGAAUGAUGCCUGAGGUGCUGGCCUCUGACCUCUGGUCUCCACACACAGGUACCACACUUGCAUACACAUACAUCACCCCACAUGGAGAAACACACACACACACACACACA
rnacentral:lncRNA from 1 species